GCCUUUAUGAUGUAGUGGUCUGCAUGAUCAACGCGUAAUCGAGAGGUCCGUGGUUCGAUUCCCGGCGAAGGCG
rnacentral:tRNA from 1 species